GGUGUGGCGAAGCUGAGAACUUAAGCGCCAGUAAACGGCGGUGGUAACUAUAACCAUCCUAAGGUAGCGAAAUUCCUUGUCGGGUAAGUUCCGACCUGCACGAAUGGCGUAACGACUUCUCGGCUGUCUCGACCAUAGGCCCGGUGAAAUUGCAGUACGAGUAAAGAUGCUCGUUUCGCGCAGCAGGACGGAAAGACCCCGGGACCUUUACUACAGUUUGAUAUUGGUGUUCGGUUCGGCUUGUGUAGGAUAGGUGGGAGACUGUGAAGCUUGGACGCCAGUUCAGGUGGAGUCAUUGUUGAAAUACCACUCUGGUCGUGCUGGAUGUCUAACCUGGGUCCGUGAUCCGGAUCAGGGACAGUGUCUGAUGGGUAGUUUAACUGGGGCGGUUGCCUCCUAAAGAGUAACGGAGGCGCCCAAAGGUUCCCUCAGCCUGGUUGGUAAUCAGGUGGUGAGUGUAAGUGCACAAGGGAGCUUGACUGUGAGACUGACGGGUCGAGCAGGGACGAAAGUCGGGACUAGUGAUCCGGCGGUGGCUUGUGGAAGCGCCGUCGCUCAACGGAUAAAAGGUACCCCGGGGAUAACAGGCUGAUCUUCCCCAAGAGUCCAUAUCGACGGGAUGGUUUGGCACCUCGAUGUCGGCUCGUCGCAUCCUGGGGCUGGAGUCGGUCCCAAGGGUUGGGCUGUUCGCCCAUUAAAGCGGUACGCGAGCUGGGUUUAGAACGUCGUGAGACAGUUCGGUCCCUAUCCGCUGCGCGCGUAGGAGUCUUGAGAAGGGCUGUCCCUAGUACGAGAGGACCGGGACGGACGAACCUCUGGUGUGCCAGUUGUUCUGCCAAGGGCAUGGCUGGUUGGCUACGUUCGGGAGGGAUAACCGCUGAAAGCAUCUAAGCGGGAAGCCUGCUUCGAGAUGAGGACUCCCACCCACUUGAUGGGGUAAGGCUCCCAGUAGACGACUGGGUUGAUAGGCCGGAGAUGGAAGCCAGGUGACUGGUGGAGUUGACCGGUACUAAUAGGCCGAGGGCUUGUCC
rnacentral:rRNA from 1 species